rnacentral:rRNA from 1 species
UUCGCAAUGCCCGAAAGGGUGACAAUGCGACGCCGCGUGAGCGAUGAAGGCCUUCGGGUUGUAAAGCUCUGUCAGCUCGGAUGAAAGCGGGGGAGUUAAUAACUUUUCCGUUUGACGGUACGAGCAGAGGAAGCCACGGCUAACUCCGUGCCAGCAGCCGCGGUAAUACGAAGGUGGCAAGCGUUGCUCGGAAUUACUGGGCAUAAAGAGCGCGUAGGUGGCUCGGUAAGUCGAUGGUGAAAUCCUAUGGCUCAACCAUAGAACUGCCGUCGAUACUGCCGGACUUGAGGACAGGAGGGGAGAGUGGAACUCCAGGUGUAGCGGUGAAAUGCGUAGAUAUCUGGAGGAACGCCGGUGGCGAAAGCGACUCUCUGGACUGUUUCUGACACUGAGGCGCGAAAGCUAGGGGAGCAAACAGGAUUAGAUACCCCGGUAGUCCUAGCCGUAAACGAUGGGCACUAAGUAGAGGGGUUUU